UACGGGGGGGGCAAGCGUUGUUCGGAAUUACUGGGCGUAAAGGGCUCGUAGGUGGCCAACUAAGUCGGACGUGAAAUCCCUCAGCUUAACUGGGGAACUGCGUCCGAUACUGGAUGGCUCGAGUUUGGGAGAGGGAUGCGGAAUUCCAGGUGUAGCGGUGAAAUGCGUAGAUAUCUGGAGGAACACCGGUGGCGAAGGCGCCCACCUGGCCUGCUACUGACGCUGAAGCUCGAAAGCUAGGGGAGCAAACGGG
rnacentral:rRNA from 1 species